GCAUAUCAAUAAGCGGAGGAAAAGAAACCAACCGGGAUUGCCUCAGUAACGGCGAGUGAAGCGGCAAAAGCUCAAAUUUGAAAUCUGCGUAAGCCGAGUUGUAAUUUGAAGAUGGCUACUUUGGUAAUGGCUCUUGUCUAUGUUCCUUGGAACAGGACGUCACAGAGGGUGAGAAUCCCGUGCGAUGAGAUGUCCAUUACCGUGUAAAGUGCUUUCGAAGAGUCGAGUUGUUUGGGAAUGCAGCUCUAAGUGGGUGGUAAAUUCCAUCUAAAGCUAAAUAUUGGCGAGAGACCGAUAGCGAACAAGUACAGUGAUGGAAAGAUGAAAAGAACUUUGAAAAGAGAGUGAAAAAGUACGUGAAAUUGUUGAAAGGGAAGGGCUUGAGAUCAGACUUGGUAUUUUGUAUGGCUUGCUUUCGGGCGGGUCCUCUGCAGUUUACUGGGCCAGCAUCGGUUUGGGUGGCAGGAUAAUAGCAUAGGAAUGUGGCUCUACUUCGGUGGAGUGUUAUAGCCUUUGUUGAUACUGCCUGCCUAGACCGAGGACUGCGUCUUUUGACUAGGAUGCUGGCAUAAUGAUCCUAAGCCGCCCGUCUUGAAACACGGACC
rnacentral:rRNA from 1 species